ensembl:misc_RNA Metazoa_SRP Metazoan signal recognition particle RNA
GCCAGGCAUGGUGGUGCAUGCUUGUAGUCCUAGCUACUUGGGAGGCUGAGGCAGGAGGAUCUCUUGAGCCCAGGAGUUUGAGGCUGCAGUGAGCCAUGAUGGUGCUACUGAACUCCAGCCUGGACAAUAGAGUGAGACCCUGUCUCGA